AUGCCCAUGGUUGGUGUGAGAGGGCAAUUGCUUCUAAAUGGAUACAUCCUUGAUGAGAGCCCCAUCAGAGCUCCCAUCCCGUCUUCAGCACCAAUGGGCUUAUGUGUGGAGGUCAUAAAUGCUACUAACCUCAAGCCAGUGGACUACCCGGUCAUUGUUACUAAAACAUCUUCAAAUGACUUUAUCGACCUUGUAAAACUUUUUACUCACAUUUCAAAAGGCAUGUCUUUGUUUCAUAGACAUGAUGUUGUGUUUUACCCUUUGCACACUAACAUUCUACAUGGUUGUUCUGAUUCUGCAGACUCUUAG
rnacentral:rRNA from 1 species